GGGGGGAAUCAAAGAAAAAAAAAGAAAAGGGAGAUCAGUUCAGACCCAGAGCGGGUCUCUGCCGACCCGAAUAGCAACGACGGGCGACCCGGCUGCCGCUCCGUUCUCCGGCGACGGCGAGGAGAAAGAAAGGUGGCGACAUCUUUGUCUCGAUGUCCUGGUCUUCUCCAUGGCAUUUAUUUGCAGAGAUGAAGUCUAGUGAAGAAGAAUCGAAGAAGAAGAAGAAAGGCUGGGUUCGCCGGCCAACUUUGGAUUCCGGCCACGACGGCGGGCAUGGAUGGUGUGGGUAGCUUUGUCUCGGUCUCGUUGACGUUCCUAUGCCUUCAGCUUGCAGAGAUGAGGUCUGGUGAGUGAGAAUCGAGGCAGAGGAGUGGUUUGAGUUUUUCGGCGAGGGUUCGGUGUUUUCCGGCAAAGUUGUGUUCGACUCAGGUAUCAAUCUUCAUCUACUCGUUGAGCUCUUCCUUGCUGUGUACUUGAAUGCGAUUUUGGACUGUGUUUUGGAGAUUUUGGGUUUAGGCAGUCGGUGACCACCAUGUGUGGCCACCGUGUACGGCGGCGGCGGCAGUUUUGGGAGUGGGUUUCUAGCUUUCUUAAUAUAUUGAAUUGGUAGGUGUGAUUACAGGUGCUUGAAUUCUAGUUUGGUUGAGUUUUGGAGAAAGUUGGGUUUUUGGCAGAAUGAUUGAUGUGUGGUGGCUGCUAUGUUCGACGACGGAAGGGGUGGCAGUAAUUGUAGUUAUGAUUCUGGGUUUGGGUUGCUGUAUUGAGCUUGUAUAUGUGAUUUGAAGUUCUGGAUAUCUGAAAUUUGUAGGUGUUUGGUGAUGGGGGAUCUA